rnacentral:lncRNA from 1 species
UUAGAGACAAGAACUAAUUCUGAGAUGCCUUCUGAUACUCAGCUUAUUUUUUUCUCUCAUUUGCUUCUCCAUUAGUCUCCUUGGCCCUUUCUGCUGAAGUCUCUUCUUGGAGAUCUGAUUAGUCUUCCUACCAAAUGCUUAUUUACCUGUCCUGGACAGUGGUUACCAAAUAACUGGACCCCAUUCCCACACAGAUGGACUACACACUAAAAGUUGCAUUUAUUUUCAAGAAUAGAACCCUUGGAAAACAGAUUAAGAAGUUUUACAUGUAGUUGUACUCAAUGGACAAUCUUACAUUUCAUGGGAAGGGAAAAAAAUAUCUCUUUUACUUUUGCUGUUUCAUGUUUUCUUCUUCUUAUUUUUUUUAAGAGUCUCAUUAAUGUUGGAAAGAGCAUUUUAAAAGCCGAGAAGACUAUAAUAACCCUCAAUUGUCUGGUAUAUUUCUUCCUAGAACAAUUUUUUGAGUUACUACCUAGCCUUCAGAAAUUCAGGAUUACAUAAUGCCACUGACAACCUCAAAAAUUGCUGCCAACAAUUUUAUGGAAAGAAAAUAUUUUAUUUUCUUUAUAAACAAUGAAAAUUGUUUAUAAUUUGAGGUGGCAAUGAGAAAUAUGAAGAAAAAUAUUAGGAAGAAAAUUAUGUGAUUUCAUCUUGUAGGAAUAAGC